UUCAAGUGGUCGGGACUUUUAUUGGGCUUAAAGUGUCCGUAGCCGGUUUGAUAAGUUCCUGGUUAAAUCUGGUAGCUUAACUAUCAGUUCGCUAGGAAUACUAUCUUGCUAGAGGGUGGGAAAGGUCUGAGGUACUCCAGGGGUAGCGGUGAAAUGCGAUAAUCCUUGGGGGACCACCAGUGGCGAAGCUCAGACUGGAACACGCCUGACGGUGAGGGACGAAAGCCAGGGGAGCGAACGGGAUAGAUACCCGGUAGUCCUGGCUGUAAACGAUGCGUGCUAGGUGUUGGUACGGCUCGGAGCUGUAUCAGUGCCAAAGGGAAACUGUUAAGCGCGCCGCCUGGGAAGUACGCUCGCAAGAGUGAAACUUAAAGGAAUUGGCGGGGGAGCACCACAAGGGGUGAAGCCUGGCGGUUCAAUUGGAACUCAACGCCGGGAAACUAACCGAGGGCAACAGCAAGGAUGAAAGUUCAGGCUGGAUGAACCCUUAAACUAGAACAAAGCUGGAGUGGGAAGGUGGCAUUGGCCGUUUCGCCAAGUUCGUGCCGUGAGGUAUCCUGUUAAGUCAGGCAACGAACGGAGAACCCACAUGCUUAAUUGCCAUUCAAUGGGCCUACGGGUCAGUUGGGGACGUUAAGCCAGACCGCCAUCGUAACAGGUUGGAGGAAGGAGGUGGGCCAACGGGCAGGUCAGUUAUGCCCCUAAACCCCUUCGGGCCCACACGCGGGCUGCAAUGGUUAUGGACAAUGGGUUUGCGACUCCGAAAAGGAGAAGCAAUCUCGAAACCCAAUCUCAGUUGGGAUUGUUCGACUGUAACCCGUCGACAUGAACGUGGAAUCCNUAGUAAUCGUGUGUCAUCAUCGCACGGUGAAUACGUCUCUGCUCCUUGCACACACCGCCCGUCGCUCCAUCUGAGUGCCGUAUAGUUGAAGAUUGGUCCAUGGGGUCAAUUUAAAAUUGUAUUGCGCGAGGAGGGAG
rnacentral:rRNA from 1 species